GACGAACGCUGGCGGCGCACUUAACACAUGCAAGUCGAGCGAUGAAAUUUCGACAGAUCCCUUCGGGGUGAAGAUGAAAUGGAUUAGCGGCGGACGGGUGAGUAACACGUGAGUAACCUGCCUUUGACAUUGGGAUAGCCUCGGGAAACUGGGAUUAAUACCAAAUGACACUAACUGAUCACAUGAUCAAUUAGUCAAAGAAAUUCGGUCAAAGAUGGACUCGCGGCUGAUUAGCUAGUUGGUGAGGUAACGGCCCACCAAGGCGACGAUCAGUAGCCGGCCUGAGAGGGUGAUCGGCCACAUUGGAACUGAGACACGGUCCAAACUCCUACGGGAGGCAGCAGUGGGGAAUAUUGCACAAUGGGGGAAACCCUGAUGCAGCGACGCCGCGUGAGCGAAGAAGGCCUUCGGGUCGUAAAGCUCUUUUAUGAGGGAAGAUAAUGACGGUACCUCAAGAAAAAGCCCCGGCUAACUACGUG
rnacentral:rRNA from 1 species